GAUGAACGCUGGCGGCGUGCCUAAUACAUGCAAGUCGAGCGAACGGACGAGAAGCUUGCUUCUCUGAUGUUAGCGGCGGACGGGUGAGUAACACGUGGAUAACCUACCUAUAAGACUGGGAUAACUUCGGGAAACCGGAGCUAAUACCGGAUGAUAUUUUGAACCGCAUGGUUCAAAAGUGAAAGACGGUCUUGCUGUCACUUAUAGAUGGAUCCGCGCUGCAUUAGCUAGUUGGUAAGGUAACGGCUUACCAAGGCAACGAUGCAUAGCCGACCUGAGAGGGUGAUCGGCCACACUGGAACUGAGACACGGUCCAGACUCCUACGGGAGGCAGCAGUAGGGAAUCUUCCGCAAUGGGAGAAAGCCUGACGGAGCAACGCCGCGUGAGGGAUGAAGGUCUUCGGAUCGUAAAACUCUGUUAUUAGGGAAGAACAUAUGUGUAAGUAACUGUGCACAUCUUGACGGUACCUAAUCAGAAAGCCACGGCUAACUACGUG
rnacentral:rRNA from 1 species